AGCACAGCUUCUUCGCGUUCCAAUCAAACCAGGAUGAAUCACUUUUUGAGAAGCUUGAAGUUUGAUACAUAAAGGGUGGGAGAAUCACAGAAGUAAAUAAAUCUCAUAGAGUUGGGAUGAAGAAGUUAUCCCACUUUCAAAUCAGGUGAUUCCAGUUUCCCAGUUUGGGAAUAGCACAGCUUCAUCGUCGUUCCAAUCAAACCAGGAUGAAUCACUUUGUGAGAAGCUUGAUUUGGAUACAUAAAGUGGUGGAGAAUCACCAGGAAGUUGAAUAAAUCUCAUAGGAGUUGGAUGAGAA